rnacentral:rRNA from 1 species
CUACGUGCCAGCAGCCGCGGUAAUACGUAGGUGGCAAGCGUUGUCCGGAAUUAUUGGGCGUAAAGCGCGCGCAGGCGGAUUGGUCAGUCUGUCUUAAAAGUUCGGGGCUUAACCCCGUGAUGGGAUGGAAACUGCCAAUCUAGAGUAUCGGAGAGGAAAGUGGAAUUCCUAGUGUAGCGGUGAAAUGCGUAGAUAUUAGGAAGAACACCAGUGGCGAAGGCGACUUUCUGGACGAAAACUGACGCUGAGGCGCGAAAGCCAGGGGAGCGAACGGGAUUAGAUACCCCGGUAGUCCUGGCCGUAAACGAUGGGUACUAGGUGUAGGAGGUAUCGACCCCUUCUGUGCCGGAGUUAACGCAAUAAGUACCCCGCCUGGGGAGUACGACCGCAAGGUUGAAACUCAAAGGAAUUGACGGGGGCCCGCACAAGCGGAGGAACAUGUGGUUUAAUUCGAUGAUACGCGAGGAACCUUACCCGGGCUUGAAUUGCAGACGACAUAUUUAGAGAUAGAUAUUCA